CUGCAGUCGAGCGACUGAUUAGAAGCUUGCUUCUAUGACGUUAGCGGCGGACGGGUGAGUAACACGUGGGCAACCUGCCUGUAAGACUGGGAUAACUUCGGGAAACCGAAGCUAAUACCGGAUAGGAUCUUCUCCUUCAUGGGAGAUGAUUGAAAGAUGGUUUCGGCUAUCACUUACAGAUGGGCCCGCGGUGCAUUAGCUAGUUGGUGAGGUAACGGCUCACCAAGGCAACGAUGCAUAGCCGACCUGAGAGGGUGAUCGGCCACACUGGGACUGAGACACGGCCCAGACUCCUACGGGAGGCAGCAGUAGGGAAUCUUCCGCAAUGGACGAAAGUCUGACGGAGCAACGCCGCGUGAGUGAUGAAGGCUUUCGGGUCGUAAAACUCUGUUGUUAGGGAAGAACAAGUACGAGAGUAACUGCUCGUACCUUGACGGUACCUAACCAGAAAGCCACGGCUAACUACGUGCCAGCAGCCGCGGUAAUACGUAGGUGGCAAGCGUUAUCCGGAAUUAUUGGGCGUAAAGCGCGCGCAGGCGGCUUCUUAAGUCUGAUGUGAAAGCCCACGGCUCAACCGUGGAGGGUCAUUGGAAUCUGGGGAACUUGAGUGCAGAAGAGAAAAGCGGAAUUCCACGUGUAGCGGUGAAAUGCGUAGAGAUGUGGAGGAACACCAGUGGCGAAGGCGGCUUUUUGGUCUGUAACUGACGCUGAGGCGCGAAAGCGUGGGGAGCAAACAGGAUUAGAUACCCUGGUAGUCCACGCCGUAAACGAUGAGUGCUAAGUGUUAGAGGGUUUCCGCCCCUUUUAGUGCUGCAGCUAACGCAUUUAAGCACUCCGCCUGGGGGAGUACGGUCCCAAAACUGAAACUCCAAAGGAAUUGACGGGGGCCCGCACAA
rnacentral:rRNA from 1 species